GAACAACAACGUUUUUUUUUUUUUUUUUUAUCGUUUCUCGACAAAAAUUAGUUUUUCGAAUUUCAAGGUUAAUUGUGUGGUCUAAUUCUUGAAUCACCAGCACCAAACCAAGCUUCUGAAAUAGUUGCUAACUGUGUUUGGAUUUUGGAAAAUUCAGGUUUGGAUUGAAAAAGCAGAUUCUUGAAGGAGGAAUUGCGUUUAAUAAAGCGCACGGAAUGCAAAUCUAUGAUUACUUAGGCGUCGACUCAAGGUUCAAUGAUGUUUUCAACAAUGGAAUGUUAAGCCACACACUACCCUGAACAUGAUAAUUUCCAAAUACCCUCAUAUUAAGGGUAUUAAUUAUGAUCUGCCUUAUGUCAUUAAAGAUGCCCCAUCUUAUCCUGGUAUGUUAUUUACAAAAUUUAUAUAGUAUGUUGGGUAAUGAUUUAUUGAUGCUACCCUAACUAAAAGAUGUGAAUUUAUUUAAAUUUCAGGCAUCGAACACGUGGGUGGAGAUUUAUUCGAAAAUGUUCCUGAGGCGGAUACCAUUUUCAUGAAGGUUUUUUCUCUCUAUCUAUAUAUAUAACUUUGAAAUGAUAAUUAUCAAGAGAAUGACAAUUUUCUCCUUACUGCUUUUGAGUUUUACAAUUUACUCAUUUGACGUCAAUUUUUUCAUUGAAAAACUCAAAAGGAUAACAAGAUAUUAUGAAAAUCGAAAAAAAAACAAUAAAACUCAAAAAUAGUAUACCGGAAAAAGUGUAAAUCUAUCUUGUCUAUGAAUUGAUAAUUGAUAUUCAAUUACAACUAAUUAAUGAGAAUUGAUAUGUAUAUGAAUUUUUUUUUGCAGUGGAUGCUUCACAAUUUUGAUGAUGAGCAAACUUUGAAAUUGUUGAAGAAUUGUUACAAAGCUCUUCCAGAUGGUGGGAAGCUGCUCAAUAUUAAUUCAACAAUUUCAGAAGUGCCUCAAAAUAGUGCGGCUUCAAGGGAAAUCUCUAUUUUGGAUACAAUUUUGUUGAUCCAAAUUCCUCAUGGAAGAGAGCGCACCAAACAAGAAUACAAUGAAUUGGCAAUUAAAGCUGGAUUUAAAGGUGUCAGCUACGAAUGUGGUGUAUGUAAUUUAUAUGUUAUGGAGUUCUUGAAAUAGAUUGCUUUUUUCUCUAUUCGGAAAGAUCUCCUUAGCUUUCUUGGGUUGUUUUCAAUUUCCGGUUUGUCUUGUUAUCUCUUUCCUUUGGAUUGAGGGCUUCUCUUAUGUAAUCUCUUUCGUUUUAUCAAUAAUAAAUCUCUUAUAGGGAGAUUGAUUCCCGUAUAAGGCAGCUCUUGCGUCAUCUCUUUCAUGAAUCAUGUUAUCAAUAAUACACCUUAUUGAAGAUGCCAAAAAUUCGAAUGUAGCAUUUUUUUUUUCCUGAAAAUUUGAAAAUAUUUGAAUUUAAUUAAUUUGAAACUCUGGUUAAAUCUAAAUAUAUAAACCUAAAUGAUAUUUCAUUUUUCUUUGUUAAAGUCUAAUCAUACUUAUUUUUAUUGGUAAAAACAUCCUAAAAACUAGUUUUUGACAUAUAUGUCUUUAAAUUAUUAUACACUUUUGUGUUUGUUGUAUUUACAUGUACGAAUAUUUAUAAUUAGAUAUUUGACAGGUACAAACAAAAAAUUAUAUUAAUAUGCUGUGUUAACUUUCAAAAGCCCAUAGUCCUUUUUGGACCAUAAAUAGAUAGAUCCACCCUUGUGUACAGGGCUGAUUUUUCCACAGAGCAGGCGUUUUGACACUAUUCUAAAUUCUUUAUAAAAUCUCUCUUUAAUUAAAUUACCUAAAUAACUAAGAAUAAAUUAAUUUCCUUUUUGUUUUGAAUGAAAAAUUAAUUAAACACUGAAAUAAACUAUUCUUUUAAUUUUUUACGCCCACCCAAUUUCAUAAUUUAUGCUUAUAUUUUAAAAUGCAAUUGAACAUAAUUUUUCUUAAGAAACUUUUAACAAUUAUGAAGAUAGAAAUCAUAUAACAAGAAAAAAAUAUUGUAAGAUUUUAAUAUUUGUAUGCAUUUAUAAUUAAAACAUAAAAGAAAUACUAUUUUUGGGUCAAAUUUAAUGACAAGAUGAUUGAUUUUAAUUUAUCAGUAUUUUAUAGUUAAAUUGGGGUAUCUUAAGCAAUAGGGUACAAAAGGGGUGCUGUAAGAGCUUUUUGCUUUAAGGAUUUUUUUAAAGUAUCUUAAAAGCUCCACUCUUUUUGAUAUAUCUAGAUUAGUGGUGAAUACUCUCUAGAUUAGUGGUGAAUACUUUAUAACAUGGUUUUUUUUUUUUUACUUUUAUAAUAAUACUUGACAUUUAAUAUUUAAAUCCUAAUUUGAAUCUUAACUAUAUGUCACUUAUCUAUUAAAUAAUGAAUAUAAUAUUACUUAUUACUCUAAUCGAUCAUCUAAUAAAUUAAUGUCACAUUUAAUGAGACUUAAAAUUUAGGAUCUAUAGCAUAAGUCACUAGAGUAGGAAAAAAAUUUGAGUUCCUUUACUAGACGAGUAUUUUGAUUAGGAAAAACUCUAUAAUGUUGUAAUUAAAAUGACGGUAUCAAUACCGUGAUAAAUACGAAUUUUUUAAAUCACGCAUAAGGCUAGUAAAUGAAAAGUAAAAUAAAUAAAUCAAUAUAAAGUGGUAAAUUGGCAUCUUAAAACUGCAAACUAAACAAAUACUUAUAAAAAUAACAUAAAACUUGUAAAUCAACAUUAAACUUUAAUUAAAAAAUAGUUUAUUCUCAUUCAAAAAAUAGUUUAUUCAUUUAAUUUAAAUAAAUGAUGAAAAAAUCACUCAUCAAUUGAAAAAAAAAAUUAAAAACAAUUGUAAUAAGUUUUAUUGAAUUGGUUUAACUAUAUAUUCUAUAUUCAUCCUAGGACAUUUACCACAAAAAAAAAAAAUUCUUUCUAUAGAUUUUGUUAGCCUAUAUGGCUAUAGAUAUUGAUUUUGAUGAUAACAAACCACAUAUAUUGAUUAAACAAAGAUUUAUGAAUUGUGCUUUUAUAAUAAGAAAAUGAUGUUAUGGAAUUAAAGUGUUUUGGACUAAAAUGAAAGUAUUUUAAAACCUUUGAUAUUGUUUUAAAAUUUCAGAUUUGGACAUAUUUGAAACUAUUUAAAUAUUUUGGGUCAUUUUAUAAUUUCACAUAGUUUGGGUGAAAUCAUAAUUUCAGAAAGUUUUGAGAUUGACAAAGUAUUAUUUAGAAACUCUGAAAUUGGACCUAUUUGAAAGCUUUCAUAACGUUUUGGGCCAUAAUAUAGUUUUAUAAAGUUUUGGGGUCAAACUAUAAAUUUAGAAAAUAUUUCACGGUAGCAGUUACUGUAGCAAGCGUCUAACCGGAUAUGGUAAACGGCAAUCCGAAUUUUAGGCAGUAAGCUUCUGGAGCAUAAACGACUAUCCGGAUUUCAAAAGCGGCUAUCCGGAUUUCAAAAGCGGCUAACUGGAUAUGAAAAGCGGCAUGCCGGAUAUUCUGAAAUUCAAAUUUUUGCUUUAACGGUAACAUGAAAGCGGCUAACCGGAUUCCAUAAACGGUAAGCCGGUUAUGACCAAAAAGUGCAUAACGACUAGUUUUUGAGCUCAAACUAUAUAAACUCAAAACCAAUUCAUUUUUGGUAAUCUUGGCAAGCAAAAAAAAGUGCACACAACAUAUAUUGAGUUUCAAUUUCGUAAAUCAUCAUUUAUUAAAUCAUCUUUGUUCUUCAAUUUGUAUAUCCACUCUUAAAAGAGAGUUUCAUUGUUGUAAUUUUCAUUUCUCAUCAAAUUGUGAGUGUACAAGUGUGAGAAACACUUGGGGUGAAGAGAUUGGAGAGAUAAUCUCUUGUUGUAAAGGUUCAUUGACACCUUGAAGUCAAUUGUAAAUGUUUGAAGCCUUGGAAAGGCUCGGAUAGUGAAAUCCUCAAGUCCGGUGUGCUUGGAGGCGUGGACGUAGGCGGGAAUUGCCGAACCACAUAAAAAUCCUUGAGUUUGCUUUCUCUUCCCUUGCUAAUUUUUUAUUGUGCUUUCAUUGAAUUUAUUAUUUUCGAAUUUAUUAAGGCAUUAGAUUGGAUUGUUGUGUGGUUUGCUUAGCUUAAUUUUUAAAAUCUCAAUUCACCCCCCCUCUUGGGUUGCCUAGUUAGUAUUUCAUUUGGUAUCAGAGCGAGGUGCUCUUGUGUAGACUUAACCAUCUAGAGUUAAAGAUCAAUGGCAACCCAAUAUGACUCAACAUUUAGGGAAUGACAGUCCACAAUUAGACCACCGUUCUUUGACAGAAAUGACUACUCGUAUUGGAAAACUAGGAUGAGAAUUUAUUUACAAGCACUAGAUUAUGAAAUUUGGGAAGUUGUUUGUGAUGGUCCUUUUAUGCCUUGGAUUAAAAAUGAAGUCGGGGAAGAUAUUUCAAAACCUUCACGGGAAUGGAAUGAAUUGGAAAAGAGAAAAGCUACUCUAAAUUCCAAAGUUAUGAAUGCCUUGUUUUGUGCACUAGAUAAGAAAGAAUUUCAUAGAGUAUCUAGUUGUGAGAGUGCUAAUGAAAUUUGGCACAAACUUGAAGUUGUUUAUGAAGGCACGAAUCAAGUGAAAGAGUCUAAAAUUUGUAGGUACACUCGGCAAUAUGAAUUGUUCCAAAUGGAACAAAAUGAGAGUGUGUAUUCUAUGUAUACUAGAUUUACGGACAUAGUGAACACUCUAGGAGCCCUAGGAAAGACUUUUUCAAAUAGCGAGAAAGUUAAGAAAAUUAUUAGGUCGCUACCUAAGGAAUGGAGACAAAAAAGGACUGUAAUUGAGGAAGUCAAAGAUUUAAAUAUCUUACCUAUUGAUGAUUUAGUUGGUUCUCUUAUUUCUUAUGAGGAAGACUUGGCAGCCGAAAAAGGCAAUGGGGAGAAGAAUAAAAGCAUUGCUCUCAAAGCCUCAAAAUAUAAGAGUGAUGAGGAAAGCGAGCUGGAUGAGGAGGAGAUGGAUAUGCUGGCUAGGAAGUUCAUAAAUUUUUUAAGAAAUCCAGUGAGCGAAGAAAAUUUAGAGACCUCAAGAACCGAAAGGAGAAGAAGGAAGUAAUCAAAUGUUAUGAGUGCAAGAAGCUUGGCCAUAUAAGAACGGAAUGCCCUCUUCUCAACAAGCUCAAAAAGAAAGCAAUGGUAGCCACAUGGGAUGAUAGCGAGGAGGAAACAAGUGAUGAUGAAGAGCAUCAAGAAAUGACAAAUCGAUCUCUUAUGGCAAUUGGAGAUGAAUCGGAUGAUGAACUUGAUGAGGUAAAUGAUCUUCCUACUUAUGAUGAAUUACAUGAUACUUUUAAAGAAUUGCAUGAUGAGUGGAUGAAAAUUGAUAAAAAGAAUGCAUGUCUUAAAAAGAAAAUGGUAGAGCUAAAAAAUGAAAAUGAAUCUCUAUGUGCAAUAGAAUAUCACAUAGAUGACUUGAAAAAAGAAAAUGAAAUGCUUAAGAAGAAGAGCAAUGAGUUAAAUGAGAUUGUUUUAAAAUUUACAAAUGGACAAAAGAUGUUGGAUAACUUGAUUAAUUCACAAAAAUGUGUGUUUGAUAAAGGAGGACUUGUUUAUAAGUCAAAUUUGAAACAAAAGUAUUAUAAGAACUACUUUGUGAAGAGUACAUCUAUUAACAAUCAAGUUGUAUGUCAUUAUUGUAAUCAAAACGGUCACAUAAAGUUUGGUUGUCCUAUCAAAAGAAAAGUAUAUUAUGGAGUAAAAUGUGUUUGGGUUCCAAAAGGAACCAUUGCUAACACUCAAGGACCCAAUAAUAUUUGGGUACCAAAGGACACAACGUGAAUGUUUUCUUUGUAGGUACCACAAUCAAGGAAUUGGGGAGAAAUUCCUUGAUGAAAGCUUGUGAGGAUAAUCACUUGAGUAUGAUCUAAGAGAAAAAGAUGAGGCAUGAUGAUUUAAUUGUUUUGGUAACAAUUCUUGCCAUAUUAAUUUUGUUGAAUGAAUCAUGAUAAAUGAAUUUGCGAAAGUAUGCUUGUAUGUUUACAUGAUGGAAUUAUCAUUGUGUAUAACAUUGAGUGAUUUAUCAUGAUGUCUUUAUUUGAUUUUGAUGAUUGUAUGGUCUUUGAUUUCAUCUUCUUAAUUGUCUAUCAUCAUUGUCCAUCUCUUAUAUAUGUGUGAACUCAUAUGCCAUUAAUUGUGUUAUAUCAUCAUUCAUUUAUAAAAUUGACAUCAUUGUUUGAUACGAUUUCAUAUGUUUGGUCUUGUAUACAUUUAUGUCUCAUGCAUGAAAUGGCUUAUUGAAAAAUUUUGAAUCUCAAAAUGAUUCAAAAAUUGAUCAAUUUUUAAGCUGAAAAUAAAUUGGUGUGUGUAAUACAAGUCUAAGAAUUUACUAAACUUAAAAAAUAUUCUCCAUAUUUUAACCGAUAAACCUCUUCUAAUCAAUCGAAAAACCAUUCUUCUUAUUGAUUAUUCUCUAAGUCAUAUUCCAGAUAACCGGAUUGGAAAACCAGUAAACCAUUUAAAGAGAAUUUGGUUUCUGGAAAGAACCGGUCAGCCGGUUAUGAAAUCCGGAAAACCGGAUCUAGUUUGAUGCUUGCUGGACACAACCGGAUAGCCGGUUAUGAGAUCCGACAAACCGGAUUUGCGUUGUUUACUUGCUGCCUCCAACCGGAUAACCGGAUUCGUGACCAUUCAUCACUGGACUUAACCGGAUUACCGGUUAUGUAAACCGGAAACCUGAAUUCACGUUGCACACUCACUGGACCACAACCGGCUAACCGGUUAGUGAAAUCCGGUAAGCCGGAUUCGGGCAUUCAUAUUUUGUUCAUCCUCUUCUCCUUCAUUCAAUCAAUUGGUUACUCUCUCACUAAAAACCACUUCCUCUCUCACGCAAUAUCUCUCUAAAAUCCAUCAAUCUCAUCCUUUUUCACUUCAAAUCCUUUAUACUUGUAUUUGAACACACCAACAUUUACUAUUUUAUUUUUCUUUUAUUUUGCAUUUGGAUUAUAUGGAUGUUUGCUAUGAUUUUGGAUUAUAUGUCUGUUUUGAAUAUGGAUUUGAUAUAGUUAUAUGUUAUGUUCUUUACUUAUGUUUUGGAUAAUUUUGAACUAAUGUGCUUGAUUUGAGGUUUUGAUGAUUGAUAGAGGGAGACAAAUAUGAUAUGUUUUUUGAUAAAAUCAUUUGGUUAAAAUUUUAAAUUGGUCAUAUAUUUAAGGGGAGCAUAUAAUAUGAUUUUGAAUAAUAUGCAUUUUGAACUUUUUUAUUGUCCAAAGGGGGACUGCUGUACGGCCAUGAAUAAUAUGCAUUUUGAACUUUUUUAUUGUCCAAAGGGGGAGACAAAGUAAUAUAUCAUUUCGAUGUUGUUAAAAAGAGGAGAAUAAUAUACACUUUAAGUAUUCUUUUAAUGAUUGAUAUUUGAUUAUGAUGAUGAUUUUGAGAUAAUGAUGAUUUGAUUACAUAGUUGUUUUAUAUGAUAAUUUUAUGUUAUGAGUUGUUGAUUUGGUAAUUAAUGGAAUAAUGGUUCAUGAUAUUUUGGUGUGAUGAUUUGUGUAUGGAGUUGGCUUGUAUCAUGAUUUAUAAUAAUUUGUGAGUAAUAUUACUAAACUUAUAUUUGAGGUAAUGCUUGUUGUUAGGGGGAGAAUGUGUUGAAAUUUCUACUCGGACAAACAUGAGUAAUAAAUUUGUUACUCUUAUUCUUUUCCUUUAAGCUUUCUUUUUUAUGAUGAAGGAGGAGAAUAAUAUAAAAAGUGUUAUAAAAAUAUGCAUGUAUCCAGGGGGAGUAUGCAUGUAUGCAGGGGGAGUCUUUUUAAAUAAUUUUUAAAUCAAAUUUUUAACCUUGCAUUGAUUAAGGGGGAGCUUUUCAUAACUAGAUUAAAUUUUUAUAAUGUGCUUUGUCAUCAUAAAAAAUGAGGAGAUUGUUAGCCUAUAUGGCUAUAGAUACUGAUUUUGAUGAUAACAAAUCACAUGUGUUGAUUAAACAAAGAUUUAUGAAUUGUGCUUUUAUAAUAAGAAAAAUGAUGUUAUGGAAUUAAAGUGUUUUGUACUAAAAUGAAAGUAUUUUAAAACCUUUGAUAUUGUUUUAAAAUUUUGGAUUUGGACCUAUUUGAAACUAUUUAAAUAUUUUAGGUCAUUCUAUAAUUUCACAUACUGCUGUACCGUACAUCCGCCUUGGCCGUACAGCAGAUAAUCUUGCAAAUAAUUUUUUUAUAAAAGAGUUUCAUUGUUGUAGUUUUCAUUUCUCAUCAAAUUGUGAGUGUACAAGUGUGAGAAACACUUGGGGUGAAGAGAUUGGAGAGAUUAUCUCUUGUUGUAAAGGUUCAUUGACACCUUGAAGUCAAUUGUAAACGUUUGAAGCCUUGGAAAGGCUCGGAUAGUGAAAUCCUCAAGCCCGGUGUGCUUGGAGGCGUCGACGUAAGCGAGAAUUGCCGAACCACGUACAAAUCCUUGAGUUUGCUUUCUCUUCCCUUGCUCAUUUAUUAUUGUACUUUCAUUGAAUUUAUUGUUUUUAAAUUUAUUAAGACAUUAGAUUGAAUUGUUGUGUGAUUUGCUUAGCUUAAUUUUUAAAAUCUCAAUUCACCCCCUCUUGGGUUGCCUAGUUAGUAUGUCAGAUUUGAUACUACACAUGUUAAUUAAGCAAUUUUUUUUUUGACGUGAAUCAAGUAAAAACAAAAUAGAAAGAUAUUCUUAUAUUACUAGAUGUACAUGAUAUAUCAAUAAAAUUGGAUCUAAUUUUAGUUUUAUAUAUACUUCAUGUAAUUUUAAACUAUGCUUCUUAUUGUACUUAAAUAUCAUUUAGGAUUACUGUCAAGGAGGCUUAAAAGAAUACAAAAUCACCUUAUUUUACAAACAGUGGGGUUUGAAAGUCUAACUUUGAGGAUAGGUUUAUUAUUAAUAAAAUUUCAUACAUAUCAUCACAUAUAUUACACAAACUCAAAACUAUAAUUAUUUAAUUUAGAAUCAAAAUUAGUAAAUAUAUAAGCUAAUCGUCACAUUAUGAGUUUUUAUUUUAUAUUUGUAAGUUUUUUUUUAAAUAACUCUUACAUUAAGUUACUUGUUUUACAUUCUAUUUACAAGUAUUAUAUUCUAUUUAUAUCAUUUAUAUUUUAUUUUAUGCUUAAUGUUGAUUUACCACAUCUAUGUUACAUGUAUAAAUUUUUAUUUUGUUUAUCAAUAAUAUACUGAUUUACCAUUUUUAUGUUAAUUUAUUUGUUUUACCUUCCAUUUACAAGUUUUAUGUCUCAUUUACUUUUUUUAUGUUGUAUUUACACUUUAAUGUUAAUUUACAAGUUUUAUAUUAUAUGUAUAAGUUUUUGUUUUAUUUACUAAUGAUACACCAGUUUACUACUCCUAUAUUAGUUUACUUAUUUUACCUUCUAUUUACAAAUCUUGUAUUCUAUUAAUAUAAUUUACAUUUUAUUUUACACUUAAUGUUGAUUUAUAAGUUUUAUGAUACAUCUAUAAGUUUUUAUUUUGUUUACUAAUAAAACAUUAAUUUACCACUCCUAUGUUGAUUUACUUGUUUUAUCUUCCGUUUACAUGCUUAAUGCUUCACUUAUAUAAUUUAUGUUUUAUUUUAUACUUUAUGUUAAUUAACAAGUUUUAUAUUACAUUGUAAGUUUUUAUUUUAUUUACUAUUGAUACAUCAAUUUAUUACUCUUAUAUUAAUUUACAUGUUUUACCUUUCGUUUAGAAGUUCUAUAUUCCAUUUACAUAAUUUAUAUUUUCAUUUACACUUUAUGUUGAUUUACAAGCAUUAUGCUAUAUUUGUAAGUUGUUGUUUUGAUUAACUAAUUUACAAAUCAUAUUUUAGUUUUAUUGUUUUAUCUUACAUUAAGUCAUUAACAAGUCUUAUGUUUUAUUUAUAUAAUUUAUGUUUGGAUAAAUAUUCAAUUAAUCCCAAUAUUUUGACUUUAAUGCCCAUUUAGUUCCUAUAUUUUAAAAAGUACCUCAAAACACCCAUGUAGUUAAAUAAAUUUUAUUUUUACCCUUGCUUUUGCUUUACUUUUACAAUAAUAGCCUUCCAAAAAAAAUUUAACAUUAAUUAGGUUAUUUAUAAAAAUGUAAUUAUAAAAAUUAACUAAUAAUUAUUUAUUAACAAAUUAAUCAAUAAAUAUCAGUAUGACAGAACUAAUAUUUUUCUUAAACCCAUGCAGUAAUCUUGCAAAUAGUUUAUUUAUAAAUAAAAAUUAAUAUCAACUAACUUAAAGUGAUGUUUAAUAGCCUUACAACAAUUAUAUUAAUAUUUAUUUUAUAAAAAAAUAGUUUAGCAAAUUAAUCUUAAAAGUAAAUUAAUAACAUAAAAUUUUUUAAAAAUAAUUAUUUUAUUUUUCACCAGCUGCAGUUUGUUGAAACUUGGUGAAGACAAAUUGAGAGCUUAGAAAUCUCCAAUGAGAUAAUAAAAUAUAUAUGUUAGGUCUUCGUUCUUUAAAGAGUAGAUCCUAUUGAAAUUUGAAAAGGAAUAUCGAUUACUCACAAAUAAAACAAAUUUGCUGAGGCGGCUCGACUAAGACGUACGGGCAGCAUAACUAAGUCCUCAUAACUCUCAAGUACAGGCAUCAAAAAAUCAAAACUGAGCAUGAUGUGUGAUAUAUAUAAAUAUAUAUAUAUUCCUCUCAAGGACUAUAUAUAGAUUUAUAUAGUCCUCUUAACUCUCAAGGACAGGCAUGAAAAUAUCAAAACUGAGGAUGAUGGGUGAUAUAUAUAAAUAUAUAUAUAUUCCCUGCCUUGUAAGACAAGGUCCUCAAGCAAUUAAGCAAGAAGCAAAUUAAAAUCAUGGCUUCUAUAGCUGAUCGGGAAGAAGAGGCAAAUAAUUUCUCAUAUGCAAUGGAACUGGCAAGUGCAAUAGUGCUACCUGCAGUUAUGCAAGCAGUGGUAGAGCUUGAUGUGUUUGAGAUCAUAAGCAAAGCCGGUCCUGGUGCUAAGCUUUCGGUUUCGGAAAUUGUGGCUCAAAUUCCCUUAAAAGAUAAUAAUCCUGAAGCUGCAGCCAUGACGUUGGAUCGGGUGCUGAGGCUGCUUGUCAGCUACAAUGCUCUUCAUUGCUCUUUUGUUGAUGGACAAAGGCUCUACUCUCUUGCUCCUGUUUCAGCAUACUUUGUUCGCAAUAAUCAAAACGGCGCGUCGUUGCGUCCCUACAUGGCCUUGUCUCUCGACAAGGUCCUCAUGGAUGGCUGGUAUACAGAAUUACUUUUUCUCUUUUCUUUUCUUUGCUAAUUUUGGUAAAUUAAGGAAAAUUAUCAAAACCUUCUAGUUGUCUAUAUACAUUAUUAAAUAUACAAGAUGAUAGUUGGUAGUUAUUGUCUAGUAAUAUGUAGAUCCCAGAUUGAAUUUGAUUUAAAAUCCACGAGCAUCGCUCCCGCAAAUGUUUCAUGUAAAAUUUUCUUUGUUUAAUCCAAUGGCAAAUAAAUUUGUUUUCAGUUCAAGAAAUUUUAUCAAUUACGUUAAUAAUUAGUCCUAACAUGAUUAUUUGAUUUUUUUUUAUUUCUUCAGUUCGUAUUGUUUGAACUAGUUUACAUGACGAGUAGUGCAAUGGGUCCAUAUAUUAUAUAUGAAUGGGAAUUUAUCACUAAUAUAUUAUAUAUGUGUCCAUAUAUUAUACUAUUCGUGGUCAAUAGCUGUAGCCAGGAGUGGCUCUCCUUGUUGAUAAACUGAAAUUAGCGCAAACCUUGAGGACAGGCAUGAAAAAAUGGGAACACGAGCAUGAUUUGUGAUGAGAUAUAAUAUAGUUGAACCCAUGCCUUGACUGAUUCAAUAGAAAGGAGGGAAAAAAGAAGGAAAACAGGGGCAAGCAAUAAAGAAGAAGCAAAUUAUAAUCAUGGCUUCUAUAGCUGAUCGGGAAGAAGAGACAAAUAAUUUUUCAUAUGCAAUGGAACUGGCAAGUGCCAUAGUGCUACCUGCAGCUAUGCAAGCAGUGGUAGAGCUUGAUGUGUUUGAGAUCAUAAGCAAAGCCGGUCCUGGUGCUAAGCUUUCGGUUUCGGAAAUUGUGGCUCAAAUUCCCUUAAAAGAUAAUAAUCCUGAAGCUGCAGCCAUGACGUUGGAUCGGGUGCUGAGGCUGCUUGUCAGCUACAAUGCUCUUCAUUGCUCUUUUGUUGAUGGACAAAGGCUCUACUCUCUUGCCCCUGUUUCUGCGUACUUUGUUCGCAAUAAUCAAAACGGCGCCUCGUUGAGUCCCUACAUGGCCUUGUGUCUCGACAAGGUCUGCUUGGAUGGCUGGUAUAUAUAGUUACUUCUUUUCUUUACAAAUUUUGAUAAAUUGGGGAAAUGAUCAAAACCUUCUAGCUGUAUAUAUCAAUGAAAUAAUCAUUUGCAUCUCAUGUUUUAAACCCAUCAAAAUCCGUCAGCUGCUAAAAAGAGAGUUAACUUCAAUUAUUUUACUUUUAAUGUGGUAAAAGAUACAAAAAAAUGAAAAUCUACGUGUUAUUGAAAUACGAAAGUAGAAAAGAUUGAUUUCAACCAACAAUUCUUUGUCUUGGUUAAUUAUGCGGUCUAGUUUUACAAACUAAGCUUCUAAAAUUGUUACUAAUUGUGUUUGGAUUUUGGAAAAUUCAGGUUUGGAUUGAAAAAGCAAAUUCUUGAAGGAGGAAUUGCGUUUAAUAAAGCCCACGGAAUGCAAAUCUAUGAUUACCUAGGCGUCGACUCAAGAUUCAAUGAUGUUUUCAACAAUGGAAUGUUAAGCCACACUUCUAUUGUCAUGGAGAAGGUCCUAGAAUCAUACAAAGGCUUUGAGCAUGUUAAAAAGCUUGUGGAUGUUGGCGGUGGCUUGGGGAUCACUCUUAAUAUGAUAAUUUCGAAAUACCCUCAUAUUAAGGGUAUUAAUUAUGACUUGCCUUAUGUCAUUAAAGAUGCCCCAUCUUAUUCAGGUACUUUAAUUUUAAAAUUUGUAUAGCAUUUUUGUUAAU
rnacentral:lncRNA from 1 species